rnacentral:rRNA from 5 species
UUCAAACGAGGAAAGGCUUACGGUGAUACCUAGGCACCCAGAGACG